ACGUAGGGAGCUAUGCGAUAAUCUGAAUUUACUUGACGUAAAAGAUGCGCACGCGGGUGAGUAAAGAUAGAUUUGAGAUGCCCAGAGCUUAACUUGUGGAACUGCAUGUAUUCACUACCGGGCUAGAGUGUGUCAGAGGGAGGUGGAUCUCCGCGUGUAGCAGUGAAAUGCGUAGAUAUGCGGAGGAACACCGAUGGUGAAGGCAGCCUCCUGGGAUAACACUGACGUUCAUGCACGUAAGCGUGGGGAGCAAACAAGAUUAGAUACAAUGGUAGUUCACGCCCUUAACGAUGUCAAUUAGCUGUUGGGGCCUUCGGGCCUUAGUAGCGCAGAUAACGCGUGAAGUUGACCGCCUGGGGAGUACGGUCGCAAGAUUAAAACUCAAAGGAAUUGACGGGGACCCGCACAAGCGGUGGAUGAUGUGGAUUAAUUCGAUGCAACGCGAAAAACCUUACCUACCCUUGACAUGUCUGGAAUUCCGAAGAGAUUUGGAAGUGCUCGCAAGAGAACCGGAACACCGGUGCUGCAUGGCUGUCGUCAGCUCGUGUCGUGAGAUGUUGGGUUAAGUCCCGCAACGAGCGCAACCCUUGUCAUUAGUUGCUACGAAAGGGCACUCUAAUGAGACUGCCGGUGACAAACCGGAGGAAGGUGGGGAUGACGUCAAGUCCUCAUGGCCCUUAUGGGUAGGGCUUCACACGUCAUACAAUGGUCGGGACAGAGGGUCGCCAACCCGCGAGGGGGAGCCAAUCCCAGAAACCCGAUCGUAGUCCGGAUCGCAGUCUGCAACUCGACUGCGUGAAGUCGGAAUCGCUAGUAAUCGCGGAUCAGCAUGUCGCGGUGAAUACGUUCCCGGGUCUUGUACACACCGCCCGUCACAACCAGGGGAGUGGGUUUUACCAGAAGUAGUUAGCCUAACCGCAAGGGGGGCGAUACCACGGAAGAUACUUGGGUGGUAUAUCAAACGC
rnacentral:rRNA from 1 species